GCGCCCGUAGCUCAGCUGGAUAGAGCGCCGCCCUCCGGAGGCGGAGGCCGCAGGUUCGAAUCCUGCCGGGCGCG
rnacentral:tRNA from 4 species